rnacentral:rRNA from 2 species
GUCCAUAGCGGCUGGGAAACGCCCGGACCCAUCCCGAACCCGGAAGCUAAGCCAGCCAGCGCCGAUGAUACUA